rnacentral:rRNA from 1 species
UACGUAGGGUGCAAGCGUUAAUCGGAAUUACUGGGCGUAAAGCGUGCGCAGGCGGUUAUGCAAGACCGGGGGGAAAUCCCCGGGCUCAACCUGGGAACUGCCUUUGUGACUGCAUAGCUAGAGUACGGUAGAGGGGGAUGGAAUUCCGCGUGUAGCAGUGAAAUGCGUAGAUAUGCGGAGGAACACCGAUGGCGAAGGCAAUCCCCUGGACCUGUACUGACGCUCAUGCACGAAAGCGUGGGGAGCAAACAGG